CCUACGGGUGGCAGCAGUGGGGAAUAUUGGGCAAUGGGCGCAAGCCUGACCCAGCAACGCCGCGUGAAGGAAGAAGGCUUUCGGGUUGUAAACUUCUUUUGACAGGGAAGAGUAGAAGACGGUACCUGUCGAAUAAGCCACGGCUAACUACGUGCCAGCAGCCGCGGUAAUACGGAGGUGGCAAGCGAUGUCCGGAUUUAAUGGGUGUAACGGGCGUGUAGCCGGGUUGACAAGUCAGAUGUGAAAUCCUGCGGCUUAACCGCAGAACUGCAUUUGAAACUGUUGAUCUUGAGUACUCGAGAGGUAGGCGGAAUUCGUGGUGUAGCGGUGAAAUGCGUAGAUAUUAGGAAGAACUCCGGUGGCGAAGGCAGUCUACUGGACAGCAACUGACGGUGAGGCGCGAAAGCGUGGGGAGCGAACAGGAUUAGAUACCCGAGUAGUC
rnacentral:rRNA from 1 species